rnacentral:rRNA from 1 species
GGAAGUGGGGAUGACGUCAAAUCAGCACGGCCCUUAUGUCCAGGGCUACACACGUGUUACAAUGGCCAGUACAAAGGGCAGCUACCGGGUGACCGGGAUGCUAAUCUCUAAAGCUGGUCUCAGUUCGGAUCGAAGUCUGCAACCCGACUUCGUGAAGCUGGAUUCGCUAGUAAUCGCGCAUCAGCCAUGGCGCGGUGAAUACGUUCCCGGGCCUU